UACGUAGGGUGCAAGCGUUAAUCGGAAUUACUGGGCGUAAAGCGUGCGCAGGCGGUGAUGUAAGACAGAUGUGAAAUCCCCGGGCUCAACCUGGGAACUGCAUUUGUGACUGCAUCGCUGGAGUACGGCAGAGGGGGAUGGAAUUCCGCGUGUAGCAGUGAAAUGCGUAGAUAUGCGGAGGAACACCGAUGGCGAAGGCAAUCCCCUGGGCCUGUACUGACUCAUGCAC
rnacentral:rRNA from 1 species